AACUUCGAGUAUCAUCUGAGUAUCUCAUUGCUGGGCCAAGUGUCCUGGAUUUCAGUGAUCAAAAUAUGGUCACCCUCAUGUAAAACUGUCUCAUCACAGAGAUGAG